ACGUAGGUCACAAGCGUUGUCCGGAAUUACUGGGUGUAAAGGGAGCGCAGGCGGGAAGACAAGUUGGAAGUGAAAUCCAUGGGCUCAACCCAUGAACUGCUUUCAAAACUGUUUUUCUUGAGUAGUGCAGAGGUGGGCGGAAUUCCCGGUGUAGCGGUGGAAUGCGUAGAUAUCGGGAGGAACACCAGUGGCGAAGGCGGCCUACUGGGCACCAACUGACGCUGAGGCUCGAAAGUGUGGGUAGCAAACAG
rnacentral:rRNA from 1 species